GCCUUACAAGGACGAUGGAGAUGGAGAAAAGUAGGUCUCAUCAGAAACUGAUGAUAUUGAGAGGUUUCAAAGUUGUUCUAAGAGAACGAGACCAGAGAAAAUUCACAACACUGGCCAAACAUUGACCCUGGGCCUUCCAAAUGACAGCUGAGACCUCUGCCACCAACCUACCAGUGCUGAAGGCUUUGCCGCUGGUAAAGAAUACCAAUGAGUCCAUGUAUUUUCCUCUCAGAACUUCAGGCAGCACAGUCUCACAUUGAGUGACACGAGGAGGAAGUGUUCAUUCAGCAGAGCAAGGCAGCAGAACAGAUCGACUAGCGCACUACCUAAUAAAAAAAUCAUGCUGCUCUAUUUAGCUCGCAUGAGCUUCGUCAUCUGGACAGUUUUAUAUUUAACACUUCAUUGAUUUU